rnacentral:rRNA from 1 species
AGACCCGAAACCCGGUGAUCUAGCCAUGGGCAGGUUGAAGGUUGGGUAACACUAACUGGAGGACCGAACCGACUAAUGUUGAAAAAUUAGCGGAUGACCUGUGGCUGGGGGUGAAAGGCCAAUCAAACCGGGAGAUAGCUGGUUCUCCCCGAAAGCUAUUUAGGUAGCGCCUCGUGAAUUCAUCUCCGGGGGUAGAGCACUGUUUCGGCUAGGGGGCCAUCCCGGCUUACCAACCCGAUGCAAACUGCGAAUACCGGAGAAUGUUAUCACGGGAGACACACGGCGGGUGCUAACGUCCGUCGUGAAGAGGGAAACAACCCAGACCGCCAGCUAAGGUCCCAAAGUCAUGGUUAAGUGGGAAACGAUGUGGGAAGGCCCAGACAGCCAGGAUGUUGGCUUAGAAGCAGCCAUCAUUUAAAGAAAGCGUAAUAGCUCACUGGUCGAGUCGGCCUGCGCGGAAGAUGUAACGGGGCUAAACCAUGCACCGAAGCUGCGGCAGCGACGCUGAUGCGUUGUUGGGUAGGGGAGCGUUCUGUAAGCCUGUGAAGGUGUGUCGUGAGGCAUGCUGGAGGUAUCAGAAGUGCG